CCCUUAGAUGUUCUGGGCCGCACGCGCGCUACACUGACGAUGGCAACGAGUUUUUCCUUCGCCGAAAGGUGUGGGUAAUCUUUUGAAACAUCGUCGUGCUGGGGAUAGAUCAUUGCAAUUUUUGAUCUUGAACGAGGAAUUCCUAGUAAGCGCGAGUCAUCAGCUCGCGUUGAUUACGUCCCUGCCCUUUGUACACACCGCCCGUCGCUACUACCGAUUGAAUGGUUUAGUGAGGACUCCUGAUUGGCGCCGCCGCCCCGGCAACGGAGCAGCGGACUGCCGAAAAGUUGGUCAAACUUGAUCAUUUAGAGGAAGUAAAAGUCGUAACA
rnacentral:rRNA from 1 species